rnacentral:rRNA from 1 species
GUGCCAGCCGCCGCGGUAAUACGUAGGAGGCAAGCGUUAUCCGGAUUUACUGGGCGUAAAGCGGGCGUAGGCGGUCCUUCAAGUCGGAUGUAAAAUCUCCCGGCUCAACUGGGAGAGACCAUUCGAAACUGCUGGACUUGAGGAUAGCAGAGGGAGGUGGAAUUCCCGGUGUAGUGGUGAUAUGCGUAGAUAUCGGGAGGAACACCAGUGGCGAAGGCGGCCUCCUGGGCUAUUUCUGACGCUGAGGCCCGAAAGCGUGGGGAGCGAACAGAAUUAGAUACUCUGGUAGUCCACGCUAUAAACGAUGGACACUAGGUAUGGGGAGUAUCGACCCUCUCUGUGCCGAAGCUAACGCGUUAAGUGUCCCGCCUGGGGACUACGGCCGCAAGGCUAAAACUUAAAUGAAUUGACGGGG